rnacentral:rRNA from 1 species
GAUUAACGCUGGCGGCGUGCCUAACACAUGCAAGUCGAACGAGGUAGCAAUACCUAGUGGCAGACGGGUGAGUAACGCGUGGUCAACCUACCGUUGAGCGGGGGAUAACUAGCCGAAAGGUUAGCUAAUACCGCAUACGUCUAGCACGGCAUCGUGCAAAGAUAAAAGGAGCAAUCCACUCGACGACGGGACCGCGUCCGAUUAGUUAGUUGGUGGGGUAACGGCCUACCAAGACUCCGAUCGGUAGCUGGUUUGAGAGAGCGACCAGCCACACUGG